GGCGUAUAGUGUAAUUGGUUAGCACACCAGGUUUUGAUCCUGGUAAUCGAGGUUCAAGUCCUUGUAUGCCUGC
rnacentral:tRNA from 1 species